AAAAGAUAAUAAAAAAAAAAAAGAGGCCCUCAUCAAGAGUUAGGAAGUUGUGAAGAUGCAGCCCGAUCUGAUUCUAUCAUGGAUUUGAUAUAAAAUUCGCCUGCCUUGUAUGAUGAUCUGACCAUGGGACCUGAUGCCACAUACCGAAAUCCCAUUUCCAUGCCAAGUGUUCUGUACUUCUCAAAAGCCUCAGGGGUAAUGUAUUCAGAUACUGGCAUAUGACGCUUUGAUGGUCUCAUAUACUGGCCAAAAGUCAUCACAUCAACACCUGCUGCCCUCACUUUCUCCAUUGUUUUCACAACCUGUUCAGGUGUUUCCCCACAGCCUAACAUUAUUGAAGUCUUGGUAAGUGUUCCAGUGGGAGCAUGAUCUUUGGCCAUCAUUAAAACAUCCAAAGAUUGCUUAAAAUUUGCACGACGAUCCCGUACAACACUUUGAAGUUCUUCAACUGUCUCAAUAUUGUGAGCAAAAACAUCUAAUCCUGAUUUUGCAACUUUCUCUACACAUCCAGGGUCUCCUCGAAAAUCCGGAACCAAUGCUUCUAUCAGCAUGUUUGGCUUCAAAGCCUUCAGCUUUUGCACAGUCUGAGCAAAAUGACCACUCCCUUGAUCGAGCAAAUCAUCACGAUCCACACUAGUAAUAACGACAUAAUCCAAACCCCACGAUGCAAUUGCCUCGGCCACAUUGACAGGCUCAUCCGGAUCAGGUGGAGGAGGAGUACGCGAUGUCUUCACAUUGCAAAACCUGCAACCACGAGUACAGGUAUCCCCAAGAAUCAUAAUGGUGGCAGUAGCGGUUCCUGUCUCGCCACCAGACCAGCACUCACCCAAAUUAGGACACUUAGCCUCCUCGCAAACAGUAUGCAACUUCAAUUCCCUGAGCUUCUUCUUGAUCUGGACGUACUUUUCGCCACCGGGGAUUGCUUCCUUCAUCCAUUUGGGCUUCGGAAGGGGUUUUUUCUUGGUGCCCACUUCAACGGAGUAGGAGUUAUUAGACUGGAGGUCGGUGAAGUCGGAAAGGGAAGGGGCCUCGGAGGCUAAACGGGCACGGAGACCAGCAAGAGUUUGGGGGAAUUGGGGUUUUGCGGCCUCGACUAGGGAGGAGAAAAAGCGGGGUUUCGUGGAUUUGACGGCGCGAGCUAGGGGUGUGAAGCGAGAAUGAAACAUGGUUUCUGGUUAUCUAGCCAGAUCCCCCGUGGGAGAGAUCAGCAGAGGUCGAAAUUUGAGAGGAGAAGAUUGGGUACUAGGGAUUAGAAGAAAUGGUCGUUUGAGUUGGUUGGUGUGGUGGCGCGGUGGUUACUGACACGGA
rnacentral:misc_RNA from 1 species